CCUGGUAGUCCACGCCGUAAACGAUGAGUGCUAGGUGUUAGGGGGUUUCCGCCCCUUAGUGCUGAAGUUAACGCAUUAAGCACUCCGCCUGGGGAGUACGGCCGCAAGGCUGAAACUCAAAAGAAUUGACGGGGACCCGCACAAGCGGUGGAGCAUGUGGUUUAAUUUGAAGCAACGCGAAGAACCUUACCAGGUCUUGACAUCCUCUGACACCCCUAGAGAUAGGGCAUUCCCUUCGGGGACAGAGUGACAGGUGGUGCAUGGUUGUCGUCAGCUCGUGUCGUGAGAUGUUGGGUUAAGUCCCGCAACGAGCGCAACCCUUGAUCUUAGUUGCCAGCAUUUAGUUGGGCACUCUAAGGUGACUGCCGGUGACAAACCGGAGGAAGGUGGGGAUGACGUCAAAUCAUCAUGCCCCUUAUGACCUGGGCUACACACGUGCUACAAUGGAUGGAACAAAGGGCAGCGAAGCCGCGAGGCCAAGCAAAUCCCAUAAAACCAUUCUCAGUUCGGAUUGCAGGCUGCAACUCGCCUGCAUGAAGCCGGAAUCGCUAGUAAUCGCGGAUCAGCAUGCCGCGGUGAAUACGUUCCCGGGUCUUGUACACACCGCCCGUCACACCACGAGAGUUGGUAACA
rnacentral:rRNA from 1 species